rnacentral:rRNA from 1 species
GACGAACGCUGGCGGCGUGCCUAAUACAUGCAAGUCGAGCGGAGUUGUUUUGGAAGCUUGCUUCCAAAACAACUUAGCGGCGGACGGGUGAGUAACACGUAGGCAACCUGCCCCACAGACUGGGAUAACUACCGGAAACGGUAGCUAAUACCGGAUAAUUCCUUUUGGCUCCUGCUAAGAGGAUGAAAGACGGAGCAAUCUGUCACUGCGGGAUGGGCCUGCGGCGCAUUAGCUAGUUGGUGAGGUAACGGCUCACCAAGGCGACGAUGCGUAGCCGACCUGAGAGGGUGAACGGCCACACUGGGACUGAGACACGGCCCAGACUCCUACGGGAGGCAGCAGUAGGGAAUCUUCCGCAAUGGGCGAAAGCCUGACGGAGCAACGCCGCGUGAGUGAUGAAGGUUUUCGGAUCGUAAAGCUCUGUUGCCAGGGAAGAACGUCCGGUAGAGUAACUGCUACCGGAGUGACGGUACCUGAGAAGAAAGCCCCGGCUAACUACGUGCCAGCAGCCGCAGUAAAAC